rnacentral:tRNA from 2 species
GGUGAGAUAGCCAAGGGGCUGACGGCGCUCCUCUGCUAAGGGAGUAUACAUUAUAAAAGUAUCCGGGGUUCGAAUCCCCGUCUCACCG